rnacentral:lncRNA from 1 species
GUGCUAAACACCGCAUUUGUUAAUAUAGUUUUGGUUUUGUUUUUUAGUACGCACUCCAUGUUACGCUCUCAAAGCCAUUUGAUUUUACUGCGUCUGACAUGCCUAUAAUCAGGAAGUGGUGGUGCUAUCAGUUAAUUCAGACAUUUCCUCUGACAAGUCAAGUCCAACAACUAGUCACCCAGGAACAAGAACUACCAAAUCCAGAAGACAUGGAAGUCACUCCACCUGAGUCAGAAAUCAUGGAGAUCACCCCAACACCAGGAAUCUAUGUAUGUAGAGGGAAUGUUUAUGUAUUGCUUGACUUGGUUAUGUAUUUAACUUUCCUGUUUCAUAAAGGUGUUUAUGAGCAGCACUUAUUAAUUACAUUAUUAUUGGAAUUCUUAUAUUGCACACAGGACUCAGCGGUGAUGAAAAACAUUCAGCUGGCCUGUAAGUGGGUGGAGGAGAACCAACACCACUUUGCUGGGAAGAUUGAACUGCCAAAGAUCUUAAGGAUGAAGGAGGAUGAUGCCUUGUUGGCUAUCGCAAUGCGAGACUUGUUCAUAAACACCAUGUUUUAUGAAGGUGAAAGGGAUGAAGAACAAAUUCGGGCUCCCUUCCUUUUCACUUUUCAGAGAGUAGAGGACAUGGAAUUAUUCUUGCAGGAAAUACGAGACAAAAGAGAUAUCCGUGUGUCUUGUUUACACAACCCUCAUUUGUGAAUCUACCAGUGGGUUACGGUUACUAUAAUGUAAAUAUUGAUUUUUGUUUUGUAAAAUUUCAUUAAUAUUUUGUGUGAAAAGAAGUGUUGUGUUCUUGAAAUAUAUUUAUGAUAUUUAUUAUUUUAUAUCUUGCUA